GUAGGUGAACCUGCGGAGGGAUCAUUACAGAGUUUCUAACUCCUAAAACCAUGUGAACUUACCACUGUUUCCUCGGUGGAAGGUACCUGAAAGGGUGCUGGAAGCCGGUGGACAUUUAAACUCUUGUUAAUUUUGUUAAUUCUGAAUCAAACUAAGAAAUAAGUUAAAACUUUCAACAACGGAUCUCUUGGUUCUGGCAUCGAUGAAGAACGCAGCAUCUGACUGACUGGUAGACUUCGUAUCUCGUAUG
rnacentral:misc_RNA from 1 species